rnacentral:pre_miRNA from 1 species
AUCACCUGGGGAAUUUGUUAAAACGCAGAUUCUGAUUCAGUAUACCUGGGGUGGGGCCCAAAAUUCUGCAUUUCUAGUAAACUCCCAGGUGUUGGUGA